AUAAGCUCAAUGGGUGCCAAUUUUCAAUCAAAACCUAUCUCUUGGAUUUCAAUCAUAUGCUCCAUAAUAUUGUUGUUAACCUACUUCACAACUUCAUCACUAUCUGCUCGACCCAAACAUUCUAUCCCACCUGAAUAUCGCUUAAACCCAAGUGCCAUAGAGCCAUCUGCUAUCCUUGAAUAUUACAACCUCCCAACAGCGCUUCUUCCCAAAAGUGCUAUUAUCCAACACUUUAACAGCUUCGAUGGCAAAUUCACUGUCAAACUAAAGCGUCCUUGCAGCUAUCAAGUUGAUGGUAAUUACUUGAAGUUCGAGUCAACUAUAUCAGUUAUCAUCAGCGAUAAUAGUAUAUCUAACGUCGAAGGAAUUAAAUUGAAGGUAUUAUCUCAAUGGGUCAGCCUUACAAAAGUGAUUCGUGUUCAAGACCGUCUAACAUUGACAGCUGGGAAAGUUUCUAGACAAUCUUUAAUUUUUAACUUCCAAAGGAAUCCAUCUAUUUGUGUAAUUAUGUAAUCUCUAAUUUUGUCUCAAUCUAAUAAAAUCAUGACACUUACUAAAGAAACUUGAGUAGUUUUUGUAUUAAGUGUCAAAAUUUUAUCGAAUCAAAUAAAGAGAUAAGGAAGUAUUGUUUUGUUUCAAAAAUGUUCAUAUUUCAAUCAACAAUAUUAAAGUUUAGAGUGAAUUAUAUUGAGAUUCCCUGAGUUUAAGUGAAAUUAAACAAAUCACUCAGACAUUUUUUAAAUAUAUACAAACCACCCCUAGUUAUACAUAUACAUUACACUGACUAUCCCUUAAGAAAUAUAAGUGUGCAAGUUUUUAAACAAAAAAUAAUGAUGAAUGCAAUUAAGUCAAACAAAAUAUGACAUAUUGUGGAGACAAGUCCAAAUAGUAUAAACUUGAUCUAUAUUCAUUAUUUUUUAAUUGUUACAAAUUGCAUCAAUAAUUCUAAUAUUGUACUCUCUCAUAGUGUCUGAAAAUAGAGUAAUAUGCCCCAACUUAUUUCUCCCACAUUAAUAUUUGAAUUACAAUUUUCCAUCACAAUAUAAAUAUUUUUUUUUGCCCUCACACCUUAUAUAUUGGUACUUACACAUUAUUUUGCCUUCACUACUAAAUAUUUGUGUGUCUAACAUUGCUUCACCCUUAGGAUUGUAAUUCUUCAACUAGCAGUAUAUUUGAUUAUAUUAAGGGAGCAAAACAACAUCAAUGGGCCAAAGAGACCUGGUGGACUUGGUAUUCAAUUAUCCGUAAAGUAUUGAUUAAGGGAAAAAUAUGGUUUUAUUAAAAGUUCUAAUACAUCACCCAUUAAUUUAUUCAAACUUUCCUAUUUGAUUUCUUAAUUAUUGCACAUAUUGGGGUAAAUUAAGAUUAUGAUGCACCUAACGUAAUUUUUGCUUAAAGUACGCAAAUCUAUAUUAUUGUAUAUCAACUGUGGAUAUUAUUGUACUCAAUUAACUCAAAUCAAUUUUUUGUUUAAUUUCAUGCACACAAAAAUUUAAAGUGUAAGCUGCAUUUUGAAGGAGAUUAUCUAUAAAUCGAUAUAAUAUUUGAGGAUAUCAAAUUUGUUUUUUUAUUUCAAAAUGUAAGGCUUAUAGGAAAGUCCAUGUCUUGUUAAAAGGAUACUGCAUCUCCCUUAUCAUUAUUAUUACUAUCAUCAUUAUCAUCAUUUUGUCACAAUAUUAUCAUUGUCACCACCUUCAUUCUCCCACCAUCCAUGUCAUUGCUACCAUCUAUAUACUUCUCCCAUCACCUCCUAAUUGUAGCCAGUGCCACAGUUACAUGCUAGUUGUGAACACCUUAUCAUGUACAGUUUAUUAUCUUCACAUAUUUAAAAAUAUGAAAAAUAACAAAAUGAAUUAUAACUGAAAAAUUAAAAGUGCAAUAUAUUGUUUUUUAUUCUAAAAUAAAUAAAUAAUUAUAUUAAUUAAAAAAACAAAUUAGAAUAUAUAAAAAAAAUUAAUCUUACCUCAUGGACAUGAUGAAUGAUGUAACAUAAUUGAUUAACGAAAGUACUAUAAUAAUAGUAUAAGUGAAGUUGAAGGAAUAAGUUGGGAAAAAUAAUUGAGAAACCAAGUUGAAAAAAAUAAUUGAGAAACCAAGUUGAAAAAAAUAAUUGAGAGACCGGGUUGAGGAAAAAAUUAUAUGACCAAAUUAAUAAAAUAAAUUAAGUUAUGGAUCAUGCCUUUUAGCCGCAUGAUUAUCUAUACAUAAAUGAGAGAUAUAUACAAUUAUAUGCCCAAUGUUAAUUGUCGCGUUAGCAUAAUGCACACAAAUUUAGAUAAUCAUUCAGUUUAUUAAUUAUUAAAGCAAUGUAUUAUGAUAAAAUUAUCCUUAUAAACUCACAUUUACAGAUACCACACUUUUUUUAAGGCAUUAAGGAGGAAAAAUGUAGUUAAUACAUGGUGAUUACCUAAAGUGAAGAUAUGAAACUUGAAAAAUGUUAAGGUGGCAAUUAAAAUGGUAGAAAAUAGUACUAUAUUAUUUUUUUAGUGAGUAAUUGGUGAUGGGCAUAAGUUAAAUUAACUUCUGAAGAGACAAUUAGUUAGGCCUGACUUUGUUGGACUAUCUUAAUAUUCCUUUGGAUUUGCAACCACAACUCACUUGUACUAUGGCAGACUUCAUUUAGAAUUACAAAUGAACAAUACCUACAAUUCUGAACUGUUUGUUUCCUGAUAUUUCAAAUAUAAUAUCCAAGAUUAUCAUUAGUAGGUAUCAGUGGCUUAGACACACCUAGAAGGGGGUUGAAUAAGUGUAGUGGUUAUCAAUUUCCACUUCUCACACUAAAACCUAGUUCUGGAAAACACCCUAGGUAAUCGACUAACCACUGGGCUUAAUCGAUUAACUCACAACAGAAACAGAAUGAUCAGAUCAGCUUCUUGCACAGUUAUUUAUCAACAAACAAGUAGAGAUACAUCAGAUAUUUUUAUGCACAAUUAACAAGGAUAUAGCAAUGUAUCAGUAUGCAAAAUAUCAGCUUCAAACACGAAUUAAAACAGUGAGAAUUGUAAAAGAGAUGGAGAGAGAACAGCUUGCACAAAUGGAUUUUUAUCUUGGUUCGUUUGCGGUCCACUGCAAACAACAUCCAGGCCUCCCCUUCUGAUCUUGGGAGAUUUUCUCUUCACUAUAUUGAACAUUUUAUAUUGUCACAUACACCAAUUCAAUUACAAGACUCACGACACUUCUUUCUUGAAUUCCAAGAACCUCUAACCUUGGUUUGACUAUCCCUAUCGCCUGAGAAAACCUUUCUCGCGAUCCAGCCCCAGCCAAGAUCCUCGCUCUCAAUUCAAGACCUCCUAGCCUUCGUGAAGAUUCACUCGAUCUCAAUGGUGGUAAACACCAAGAGACUAACCCAAAGUAAAAAAACAAUAUAAAAAAUAGAGUUUUACCAAGCACUAAAAUGCUCAAAUUACAACAAUGAAAAACUCAAAGAUUAACCAAGUCUCGAGUAACACAAGCCAUCAUGCAUAUGUGAGUUAAUGCAAAACAGUAAAGUCAAAAUCUUUUUCUUGAAAUCUCUAAUAAGAAUGCAUGAACAUGCAAGAAAUAAUAUAUGAGAUUAAACACAUGAAAACAACAUGCAAUACACUAUGAACAAUAUCAAUUAAGCAUGUUAAUCUCUCUUUCUCACACAUGCAUCUCUCAUCUGCCUAUUACACAGUUAAUCACAAAAAUUAUGCUCUCUAACAGUUCCUAAUCAAUAAUAUGGAAUGCUACACAUUUCUGCAAUUUGCCAUAACUUAUACAAAAAAUAUUUGACACUUCAAACCAUUACAUUCAGUUAAGUAGUUAAAAUAGAAAACAAUUAUAACAGAAAACAGUCAAACUAAUCGAUUAACCAACAUAUAUAAAAAACAUGAUUAAAAGGCAAACUACUUAUAUGUUAUGUUUGACUCCUAUACAUGUUUUAUCAAUUAUAUUAUGCCUAAUAUGCACAUAUUACAUGUGUGAUUAAUGCAUGAACAUAUAAUAAGCUAGAAGAUAUGCAUCAUGAAUAUGAUAUGACAAUAUUAAUGGCUUGUGAGACUUGCGUCUAGGUUUACCUAACUCAAUCUCACUGACUAAGGCACACAUUCCAGACUACUUAGAAAUAUAACUCUGUUGAUAUAACCUAGUCUAGAUAUCACCAAUGAGUUUUAGGCAUGUUGAUUGUUAAGCCAUCUUCAAGCUUUAACUAAUAUUUUGUCUCCAUCAAAACACAGGCAAAACAUUGCUAUUGCAAUCCUUGAUACUUUGCACUUUCAGAAAACUCUACUGUAAUUGGUGAAGGAUCACACGUGGAUAAACCUUCACCUCCUCCUCCGAAGAAAUCAAUUGCACUAGGGUUUCUCCCCCUAGUGCAAUUACCCACAGCUGUGACCCUCAUUGGCAAACUAACUAUCAAACUAUUAAGUGUUUGCACUUUUUAAAAUAAAAAUUAACUCUAUUUCCUAACUUUCGUUUUUAUUUUAAAAUAAAAAUAAAAAAAUGUUUAUUCAAUAGUUAGUUGAACCAAUAAUGAUGACAUGUUAUUUCAAAAAAGUUUUAAUUGACUUUUUUUAUACUAAUUUGUAUAAUAAUGGAGAGAUUCAAUUUAAAGAAACACAAAUGUGAUUUUCUUUUAUUUUCGUUCUUUUAAUAAAUGUAAAAGUAAAAAAGGCAGUCUAGUCAUUCUUUGUGACUUUAUAAAAAUCAAAUAAUCAUUUUUAUUCACUUGUAGAUAAUGCAAUAGUUUUUGGGAUUUAAUAUAGUCAUUAUAGAAUUUUCUACUCUAAAAAAUCUAUAUGUAUACUUUCAAAUUUUAAGCUUAAAUAAUUAUUUUAAGGCAUAUAUGAGUGUCAUAAUAACUUUAUUUAUGACUUUAGAAAUUUUUUAAGAAUUUUGUUAUGACUAAAUGAUUUUUUUUUAUUCCAGAAACAAUAUUGUCCCAUUCGAAUUAAUUACAGAUUAAAUUUUGAUUAAAAAAUAAUAUCUGAAACAUUUUAAUUGAUAGAAGGGAUUCCAUUUUAUUUUCAACUUGUUCAAAAUCCUCCUAUAAUUAGAGACUUGUGUAUAGUGGCAAAAACAUAAAAAUACAAAAAAGACACUAAAGAGAAAUUUAUAUUGUUCAUCUUUUCCUUUCCGAUGUAGAGAAAUUUGUGUUCCUCCUCCAUCCUUUCUGGUGUGAGAUGCAUGCAUAUAUGCACUUUCAUUGUUCAUCUCAUCUUUUUUAUUUAUUAAAACUUCAUUUUAAUAAUUAUUAUUUUUUGUAUAAUUAAAUAAUAAUUCAUUCAUUCAUUUUUGCUUUUAAAAUAUUAAUAAAUGUUUAUUUUUAUUUUUAAAUAAUGAGCAUACUAUUAAACAAAUAUUCUUCCUCUUAAUUAAAUAAAAAAUGUAAAGAUUGAGAAGUAGUAAUAGAAAACUUAUUUGCCUCAAUUUUAAGUUGAGGUGCGAUGUAGGCGUGAGUGCUGCUACCUCACAUACUUAAAGUAAUAAGGAAUAACGGGGAAAAAAAUUAUCCCUUUAACUUGAGUUGUAAUGCGUACAUUAGUUUAUAUGCCUCACUUAAUUAAAGUGGGUAAGGGGUAAUUAAUUGAAAAAACUUAUUCAUUUAAAUUGAGAUAUAAUAUAGACAUGAGUGUUACAAUCUCACUCACUUAAAGUGGAUAAUUAAUUUAAAAAUCUAUCUCUUUAAAUCGAAUUGUAGUAGGACACAAGUGUUGUUACUUCAUUUACUUGAAAUUGGUAAUUAACUAAAACCUAUCCCUUUAAGCCAUUAUGUGCUGUGAACAUGAGAGUUGCUAUCUCAUUCUCCAACAUACAUAAUUGUGAAAUCAUCUUUUGGAAAAGAAAUAAAAGUCAAAUCAACUAAAUUAACUAAUAUUUUAUAGAAAACUAGGUAGUUUUGAUACUCAUUUGUCUUAACAAUUAAUUUUUAUUUUUAGUACAAUAGUUCAAUGGUAUUUAAUGGAUGUAAUUAGUUAGAGUGUUGUUUUAGUAUGGAUAAAUGAAGUGUGAAUACCUUCUCACAUUUGUAAUUAACUCUUGAGCUUAGAUCUCUAAUUUAAAGACCACUACAUUUUAAAUUGGGCUUAAAAUAGAAUUUUCUACAUUUUAAUUAUAAAAAACAUAAUGAUGACUCCAAAAACUAAGUAACCAGUGCUCAAUCAAAAAUCAGUGUCCAACAAGUUAUAUUAACUUUUUUCUCUUUAGUUGAUUAAAUAAAGUGUGAUGAUGGUGAAUAUGAGUUGUUAGGGAUGAUUUUGUCAAAAUACAUUAUUUCAAUUUAAUAAUUACAAAAUUCAAUGAUUGUCCUAAUCUACAUGUCUUAUGCUAACUUACAAUUAAAAUUAGACAAAUGAUAUAUAUUAUUAUUCAGAUGAAGUAUGUUAAAAUAUUUGAUUUUGUCAUAAAUCUUAGCUUUCAUAAAAUUAAUAAUUAGAAUUAGUGGAUUAAUGAAGAUUGGGUUAGUAUAAAAAACUUUAAGAAAUAAAAGUCAACUAUAUUUAUAUUUUUUCCUCCAGCCACAAAAAUGUAGACGAUUGAAAAGAUGGAAGAGAGUGAGAGGAAAGAAAGGUGAUGAAAAAAGAUUAUUCCAUCAAUAAUAAUAAUAAUCCAACACACCCUCAAGUUAAUUUGACUAUAUAAAUUAUUAAUAACAUAAUAAUGUAGUAAAAUUAUUAUUUAAUUAUUUAAUAACACAUAAAAUUCGUGAAUAAUUAUUAAAAGUCUAAAGUUAAUUUGACUAUAUAAUUUUUUAAUGAUAUAAUAAUGUAGUAAAAUUUAAUUUUGAAUACAAAUAGAAUUUAAUUUUCUAUUUAAGUUCUUGAAAAUAUAUAUUUUUAUUUUUGAUUAAUUAAAAAUGGUUUCUAUCCACAUAUCGGCAUACAUUUCUUCAAUAUAAAUAAGCAUUGUGGGUAAGCAUUGAAAACACACAUUUUUGUUAAUCAUACUUAACAUAAACUCAAUGGGUGCCAAUUUUCAAUCAAAACCUUUCUCUUGGAUUUCGAUCCUAUGCUCCAUAAUCUUGUUGUUAACCUAUUUCACAACUCCAUCACUAUCUACCUCACCCAAAUAUGACUUAAACUCAUAUGAUAUCCCAAAAGGGCUUCUUCCCGAUGGUGCAAUUACCCAACACUUUGAUAGCUCCACUGGUAAAUACACUAUCAAAGGACGUAAACCAAACCAUGACAUCGUCUCCGACAAGGACGUAUGGCCAAGUGAUAUGCUUGAAUAUUACAACCUCCCAAAAGCGCUUCUUCCCAAAAGCGCUUCUACCGAAAUCUUUGACACCAUCGGUGGCAAAUUCACUGUCAAAGUAAAGCGUCCUUGCACUUCUAAAAUUGAUGGUAAUUACUUGAAGUUCGAGUCAACUAUAUCAGCUAGCAUCAGCAAUAAUAAUAUGUCUAACGUGGUAGGAAUUAAAUUGAAGAUAGGAUCUCAAUGGGUCAGCCUUACAAAAGUGACUCGCGAUAUAGACCGUCUAACAUUGACAGCUGGGAAUGUUUCUAGACAAUCUUUAAUUUAUAACUUCCAUGCGAGUCCAUCUAGUUGUGUAAUUAUGUAAUCUUUAACUUUGUCUCAAUCUAAUAAAAUUAUGACACUUACUAAAGAACCUUGAGUAGUGGUUUGUAUUAAGUGUCAAAACUUUAUUGAAUCAAAUAAAGAGAUAAGGAAGGAUUGUUUU
rnacentral:lncRNA from 1 species